UAGCGGCCAAAAGCGCCAUCAGUUUCAUUGUCAGGCAACAUGGUCUCGAGAAUGAAUUAACGAUUAUCUUUAAAUGUUAUUUGACCACUGAAUUAAUGAUAGUCAUUAAUUCAUUGUCAUGCGCAUGGACAAGUGAAUUAUAAAGCGUUCGACGCAGCGUCUAGGUAUCACAUCCAAUAUGGCGCCCAAAUCUCGUGGUAAAAGAAAGAAAUCCGUAGAAGAACUUCUCAAAGAAGGCAGAGACUUGCUUGAUCGGCAAGAAGUAAAAUCAAAGCGAAAGAGGAAACCGGUUCGAUUUUUAUUUUCUACCGAUCCAGCCACGGGACUCAGAAAUAACAAAGGGACGUAUAAAGGUCAGAAAAAAUCCUGCAAUUUUACAGGGAUAUUCAAAUUUCACAAUGGAUUUCCAUAAGGGUAUUUAAUUGUGACCCUAGAUUUCCAAAGAUUAUUCUCGAAUUUUCACAGGAUUCACACGACAGAUUGUGGUAGAGCAAAUUUGGGCUCCUCGAUAGGUGGAUUAUGAUUUGUUUUAAUGGAAUGGUCAAAUUCUCCUUUAUCGCGUUAUUGUCGAUUAAUAAUAUUAAAUAGUUAUCAGCGAACGGAGCUCAGUAUUCUUUUGACAAUGGUAAACCUGCGUACCCGUGCGUACUUGCCAAAAUGACAUCGCUAUGCGCCUGACUAUGAUAACAUACGGUACGCGUAUCUAGAGCGGUUUUCGUAUGACUGGCUACUUCAAAAGAGAUGUUUUCAUGUACCCUUAACACCUUUGCGGAAAUGAUAGAAAAAUGCCGUGCUUGUGGUGCCAAGGAACGAGGAAAAUGCUGCUGUCCAGUUCUAGAGAAAUCCUUCUAUGUAUUUUGCCGUGAGAGAUGUUCUCCCAAGUACAUCAGUGAGUGCAAGAGGUGCCUUAACAUGGGAAAUAGCUCAACACAUGCUUGCCUGGACUUCUUCUUCUGUAGAAGGUGCAACGAGGAAUACCGUGCCCGAGAAAGAUUGAAGCAUUUUUAAAGAGGCUACGUCACGGUUAUAGCGUAAUUUAGCCCAAGCUUAACAAGACCAGUAACCGUUUGUUCGUUGGGAAUAUCCAUCUAGGUUUGUAGAAAAACCGUUUUGAUUUUAUAACUUUGUUUAAAUUGUGCUUUACUAAGCCUGACAUAGCCCCUUUAAACCGCUUUGCAUAUAAUAAGAUUAACUCAAAUAGUGCAACUAAUGCAAAAUGAAAAAGUGGGGCCUGAUAUGGUAUGGGUUCACAAAAGCGAGGUGUCAUCAUCACAGUUUAAUAUUUUAUUUAUUUUAUAUCUUAUUUAAGUCUAGUGCACACUAGCGACAAAGUACGGCGCCACACUAACAAAAUUCAAUCAAAAGCUAAAAUUUACUAAAAUGAGCGCACGAAAAUACAUAAAUAAAGCGAUAUUAACAUGUUACAAAAUUCCUGUGCAUUUUCUCUCACUUUUACGUUUGCGAUAAAACGCUGUUAUAUCUAGUGUGCACGACGCUACGGCCUUUUUGUUAUACGGUCAUUUUGUUAUAUGCCCGGGGAGGGGGAGGACUCCCACAAAAAUGACGGGGGUGCUCGAUAAGAAAAAUAAAAUUGACCCCUAAGAGAUAGCAUGGUAGGCGUGGGACUUUAUUUUUAAAUAAUUAAAAUUAAAGAAAGCAAAAUACUUCUAAUUGCAGAUAGCAAAAAUUUUAUAUAUUAAAAUAUUUUAUUAAAACAAUGUGCAGUAUGAAGUAACACCAUUUUUUUGUGGGAGCCCCCCUUACCGUUAGGUGACUACGUAUCAAUUUCUUAUUGCACCUACUAAUCAAUUUCCAAUUCUGGGUGCCGGGAUUUGAGUUAUUCCGAAAUAAAAUUGCAAAUAUCACCCAACAUUUGAUUAACCUAUUUAUCGCAAGAUCCUUGAAAUAGUUCUGGAGUCAACGAGAACAAACAUCCAUUGAAACGGGGCUUCCUUACUGUUUGAACAUGGCAUAAACGUAUUAGGGAAUAAAUGAUUGUACCAACGGAAACAUUUGAUUCGCACUAGGAAACGUUAAGGAACAACGAGGAAGUAGCUUAUAGUCCUUUAUGGUAUAAUUAAAAUCAAUUUGAACAUGAAUAAUAGAGUCGCAAAGUUGGAUACUGUGAUUUGUGUUUGAUUCAGCAAUUGAACAAAUGUUUGUUUUUACUUUUUAUUUAAUGUCAACAAAACUAGAUAUUUGAAGGAAUUUGUAAAUAAAAUUGUAAUAAAGUACUAUUUUAAUAAUG